rnacentral:rRNA from 1 species
CAGAAACUCAAAGGAAGUUGACGGGGAGCACUACAACGGGUGGAGCCUGCGGUUUAAUUGGAUUCAACGCCGGAAAUCUCACCGGGGCGACAGCAAUAUGAAGGUCAGGCUGAAGACCUUACCCGAUUAGCUGAGAGGUGGUGCAUGGCCGUCGUCAGUUCGUACUGUGAAGCAUCCUGUUAAGUCAGGCAACGAGCGAGACCCACGUCCACAGUUGCCAGCAUACCCUCCGGGGUGAUGGGUACACUGUGGAGACCGCCGCUGCUAAAGCGGAGGAAGGAGUGGGCAACGGUAGGUCAGUAUGCCCCGAAUCUCCCGGGCUACACGCGGGCUACAAUGGUUGGUACAAUGGGCAUCUACCCCGAAAGGGGAAGGAAAUCUCUUAAAGCCAAUCGUAGUUCGGAUUGAGGGCUGCAACUCGCCCUCAUGAAGCUGGAAUCCGUAGUAAUCGCGUUUCAACAGAACGCGGUGAAUACGUCCCUGCUCCUU